GCUGCUUCCAACGGAACAUAAAUAAAACAACAGAAGUAACCGUCAAAAAAUCAACCCUAAAGAGUAUCAAUAAACACAAUAGAAUCAAUGGCAGCAGUAAUAUAGGGCUACAGUGCCCACUCAGAAGCCGCAGAAGAGACCUCCAUCCAGAAUCUUUGAAUACGUUCACAUUCUCACCACAUAUGAACAUAAGAUCCUCGUACUCCACAUCCUCUCCAGCACAAUGGUAAAAGUCUGGAUGUCCACAAAUUGGUAUCAGUGGGGAUAUCCCUGGCAUCAAAGAUUCCUUUCUAUAUUUCCAGACCUUUAAUAUAGAGAUAAUGCUUGUAUAUUUUUGUUGUAU